CUCAGGUUAUUAUUUAAACAGCUGCACUUUGCUCCUCAGUGAAAGUUUCAGAAAGCGAUCCAGCUGUUUGUUCUAGAACAUUGGAAUGGAUUAAUGGAAAAAAAACAUUUGUGUGGGUGGCUGAUGAAACGGUGACGUGUCCCCCCAGUGGUUGAACUGGUCUACUCCCACUAUAAUCUCCACAGGUGAUUUUAAUGGAGCCCAAACGCGCAGUUAGAGAGAAGUUCUUCAUCGUGAUCAGAGGAAAGUACCGGAAAGGCUUCAGCAGGGGCUGCAUCGGGCGCGUGGAGGCGGAGACGGCGCGCGGGGAGUUCACGGGGCUCGUGUACGGAGGAGGGGGAGGGAAGGACGCGGGGACCCCCAAACCAGGAGGGUGCGUCCGCAGGGAGGACACGUACCCCCUGAGCAGACACCAGGCCCAGCUGCUGCUCUUCGUCCCGUCGGGCUGUAAACGUCUGGAGCUGCUGUGUAACCCCCAGCUGUUCUCAGCCAUCUGUGAGCUGAACCUGGAGGACCUGGUGGUGGUGAAGCACAGGGGGGGACACCUCCCUGGACUGGUGAAGAACCUGCUCCAGGUGGGGAGGAAGGAGAACAAGGAAGAUCUGCACAUGCUGGGCUUUGAGGUCAAGUUUGUGGACGGCGACCACAAUUUGUCCUCCAGGAAACCUGCCCCGUUGCCUAUUUUCAGUGCUGCAGACAUCAUACAAGUGGUCCCAUCCUACUCAGUCCCCUUUGGACCAAACUGGAGAGGCGGCAAAGGUAAAUCAAACCACACCUGUUCCCAGAUCUAUGUUUAAUGUUUUUUUUUUUUUUUAACUUAUUUAACCAGGAAAAAAAUCCCCGUUGAGAUUAAAAACCUC
rnacentral:lncRNA from 1 species